UCUCCGUUGGCGAACCAGCGGAGGGAUCAUUACAGAGUUUUCACAACUCCCAACCCUUGCGAACCGUACCCAUUCUGUUCUCGUUGCUUCCGGCGGGGGGGACGGGGGGGCCCGAAACGGCCUCCCCGCCCCGCCCGCCGGGGGCGGCGGGCCCUACGAACCUUUAUGUCUCAACCACCAGAAACCGUCUGAGAAAACAAACAAAAUAAUCAAAACUUUCAACAACGGAUCUCUUGGCUCUG
rnacentral:misc_RNA from 1 species